rnacentral:rRNA from 1 species
AACAGCCCAGACCACCAGCUAAGGUCCCAAAAUAUAUGUUAAGUGGAAAAGGAUGUGGCGUUGCCCAGACAACUAGGAUGUUGGCUUAGAAGCAGCCAUCAUUUAAAGAGUGCGUAAUAGCUCACUAGUCGAGUGACACUGCGCCGAAAAUGUACCGGGGCUAAACAUAUUACCGAAGCUGUGGAUUGUCCUUUGGACAAUGGUAGGAGAGCGUUCUAAGGGCGUUGAAGCAUGAUCGUAAGGACAUGUGGAGCGCUUAGAAGUGAGAAUGCCGGUGUGAGUAGCGAAAGACGGGUGAGAAUCCCGUCCACCGAUUGACUAAGGUUUCCAGAGGAAGGCUCGUCCGCUCUGGGUUAGUCGGGUCCUAAGCUGAGGCCGACAGGCGUAGGCGAUGGAUAACAGGUUGAUAUUCCUGUACCACCUAUAAUCGUUUUAAUCGAUGGGGGGACGCAGUAGGAUAGGCGAAGCGUGCGAUUGGAUUGCACGUCUAAGCAGUAAGGCUGAGUAUUAGGCAAAUCCGGUACUCGUUAAGGCUGAGCUGUGAUGGGGAGAAGACAUUGUGUCUUCGAGUCGUUGAUUUCACACUGCCGAGAAAAGCCUCUAGAUAGAAAAUAGGUGCCCGUACCGCAAACCGACACAGGUAGUCAAGAUGAGAAUUCUAAGGUGAGCGAGCGAACUCUCGUUAAGGAACUCGGCAAAAUGACCCCGUAACUUCGGGAGAAGGGGUGCUCUUUAGGGUUAACGCCCAGAAGAGCCGCAGUGAAUAGGCCCAAGCGACUGUUUAUCAAAAACACAGGUCUCUGCUAAACCGUAAGGUGAUGUAUAGGGGCUGACGCCUGCCCGGUGCUGGAAGGUUAAGAGGAGUGGUUAGCUUCUGCGAAGCUACGAAUCGAAGCCCCAGUAAACGGCGGCCGUAACUAUAACGGUCCUAAGGUAGCGAAAUUCCUUGUCGGGUAAGUUCCGACCCGCACGAAAGGCGUAACGAUUUGGGCACUGUCUCAACGAGAGACUCGGUGAAAUCAUAGUACCUGUGAAGAUGCAGGUUACCCGCGACAGGACGGAAAGACCCCGUGGAGCUUUACUGUAGCCUGAUAUUGAAAUUCGGCACAGCUUGUACAGGAUAGGUAGGAGCCUUUGAAACGUGAGCGCUAGCUUACGUGGAGGCGCUGGUGGGAUACUACCCUAGCUGUGUUGGCUUUCUAACCCGCACCACUUAUCGUGGUGGGAGACAGUGUCAGGCGGGCAGUUUGACUGGGGCGGUCGCCUCCUAAAAGGUAACGGAGGCGCUCAAAGGUUCCCUCAGAAUGGUUGGAAAUCAUUCAUAGAGUGUAAAGGCAUAAGGGAGCUUGACUGCGAGACCUACAAGUCGAGCAGGGUCGAAAGACGGACUUAGUGAUCCGGUGGUUCCGCAUGGAAGGGCCAUCGCUCAACGGAUAAAAGCUACCCCGGGGAUAACAGGCUUAUCUCCCCCAAGAGUUCACAUCGACGGGGAGGUUUGGCACCUCGAUGUCGGCUCAUCGCAUCCUGGGGCUGUAGUCGGUCCCAAGGGUUGGGCUGUUCGCCCAUUAAAGCGGUACGCGAGCUGGGUUCAGAACGUCGUGAGACAGUUCGGUCCCUAUCCGUCGUGGGCGUAGGAAAUUUGAGAGGAGCU